CUGUUGGCGCAUCGUCUCCUUCUUCCAUCGAUCCCCUUCUUCCUCUCUAUACAGGAGGAUGUCUCCCAGCGCAGAUCAAUGCGCCGCCGCCACAGACCAGGUCUCCUUCCUCUUCUUCGAUCCAAGGCAAUCUCUUUCCUGUUCUUUAGUCCAAUCCUUCUAUUUCCUGAUCCAAUCCUUCUUUAACCUGAAACUGUCCGGGGCUCACCCGAUCUCCUCCACCAGCGUGGCCACCAUCCUGAUCCCCUCUUUCUUCUCUACCAUGAGCGCCUACUCAGCCGAGAUUCGCCCGCGAGGAGAGGCAGGGAGCAGCAGCACGCCCUGGGCAUCCCGUGAGCCCGCCUAAUCCCGCUGUUGCCCUCCGAGAUUCGCCGACCAUAAGCAGUUCCGCGUGCACGGCCAUGGAAAGACCUCCAAGCCGCCGCCGAUUCGUGUACUUCGAGGGCUGCCACCCACAACGAGGAACACGAGCGUGGUGCGUCGACGUGGCAAACCCGUUCUCCUUCCUCACUACCAUGUGCAGUUCGCCGAUGCCCGUCGCUAACCCAGUCCUUACGCGAACGACACAAUCUGGACCCUGGUACGCUGCCUUUGCCUAUGCUACAUAGUACAAUAUUGAUUGUAGAGCAGUGCUACAUGGAUGACCGUUUGCGCAAGAUUUUUAGACGACACAAAACUACAGCCGUUCAUCCCAUAUGUUUUGCAGGCAGCAGCUAUCGAUGGGAGCAUCGUGCAAAAAUAGUGUGUGAAACUAUCGUGUGCACAACAAUUCUGUUGGUUGUAUGAUCUAGAGUAGUUUCUUAGGUGGUGAUGUGCUACACUAGAUAUUACCUAAUGUUCUCCUGUGUACUCAGCUUGGGACUAGGCAGUAUGUUAUAGUGAAUUAAUAUACAGGUCGCACACACCUUGUGUUGGAUGCUUGAAAAAGCAAUGCAAAAUAGUCUUUGUAUUGUGACUCGUGAGUCAACACUUUUGGAUCCCAAAAUAUUCAGUUGAAGCGUGAGUGAUCAUCUGCAAGUCAGUAGGAAAUUUUAAUUUGAUGUUAGCACAAGUAUGUAUGGUGUCAGAUGGUUGAAAAGGAACUGGAGAUGGUCUUUGUGUCCUCAACUUUUGGCCCUUUAGUCAACACCCCUAAGCAUUUUUCUUGAAGGGCACAAGAACCUUAUUUUGGCCUAGAAGAGAUUUGCCAGACUGCUUGAUGAUUCUGCCACCUAAUAAACAAGUAAAUGGAUUUUGUAUCCUGAAAAUAGAGGAAAAUAAUAAACACCAAGAAGAUCUGAAUGGUGUUAUCCAUGCUUGCUUCUAAGUAGUGUAUGUUCAUUAGCACCACAAUUCAUGGAUUUAAGGGCUUCCAUCUUUCAUGUGUGCGUAUUUAAUGUUCUAGGCAGUCACUUCACAUAGCUGGUCGGGCUCUAAGCUUGCUCUGCUCGUUGUCGGUUACUCCUAAAUAUUGCAUUUUUAUCUACUUGGUGCUCUUCGAAGUAUGCUUAUUAUGUUUGUCGUUCUUUAUACAAGUAAGUUGAGGUAGAUAACAAAAGUUGAGGCAGAUAACAAGGGCUCAGAUUGGAAAAAAAUAUACGUUAUGAUGGUAAGAAAAAUAUUAGGAUUUUAGUUAGUGAAUGACUACAAACAUUAUAAGAUCUUGAUGAGAUGCUUGACAUGACCGGAACAGUUAACUAGACAUGUAUCAUGAGUACCGUGCUCAAAAUGUUUUACUCAUGCUUCCAUGGAUCUUGGUUAAGACUAAAGUUCGUAUGAACUAUGAACGUGUUUUGCAGAUCUAUUCGUCACUAAAUUUGUAUACAGACUAAUUUCUUCUCCCGUUGCAACGCACGCCAUAUUUGCUUUAGUAAAUAUAUAUAUGUAUGCUGUUCUUUGCUCUACUGGAGGCAAUUUUGUUCAGAGUGAUAUGAUUUGGAUCAGUUAUGUGAUGUUUCUGUUAUGCUUUUCGUCUCCUGCUCAAGAGAGAAAUUAUUAGAUAUUUCUACUGUUUAUUGGUACGGCCACUGAUUAUAUUUAUUGUUGCUAUCCAAUGCAGAUUAUCAUGAUUGUAUGAGAGAUUAAUACCAUUGUACCAUGUGUGCUAGCUAGAAACCGUAGGGUGAUGCUUGGUGUAUUCUUGUGUAGUUGUGUUUUCAUCGGAAAAACAAGGAUGUGGGUCAGACUCCAGUUCAUUGCGACUCCAUUAACGGAGUUUGACCACUCCGAAAAAGGUGAUGCUCUGUAUGCAAUGGAGUUUGGCUCUUGCUCUCGAAAAGAUGGUGAACAAGAAGCUGCCCAACCUGCACACUGUAAGUUUCUCCUUUAUUUUGCAAAUUAAAAAUUCUAAAAAAAAUAUUCCGAAUGAAAAAACAAAUUUUAGAAAAUAUCCAAAAUUUUGUUGCUAUUUCAUAAAAUAUUAGAACUUGCACAAAGUUUCCAAUUUUUCCAAAAAAAUGUCCGUGUAUAAAAGAUACACAUUUUCUAAAAAUCUUAUGAUUUUCAGCACAUGUCCGAUUUUGAAGUAAUGUUCAGAAAUCCAAAUAAUGUUCAUCUUUUUUAAAAAAUUAUGUUUUCAGAAAAUGUUUGUGAAUCUUAAAAGAUGUUCCCUACAUAUUUUAUUCGCGUUUUUCCAAAAGUGUACAUAAUUUUCAAAAAACUGUUCAGGAUUUAAAAUAUUGUUCAUGUUUGCUAGAAUAUUCAGAAACUUCAUACCUUAAAAUCCCGUCGAUUGAAAGGAAAAGUAGAUCGAUUAACUAAUGGGCCUUGUUUAGCGUACGAUGACAUAACAAAACUCUUAAAUGCCCUCAAUCAAUGCAUGGAAAAAUAGCGGAUUGCUUCCUUAACAACGGCGAAACUGAGAAGUUAAAUGUUUCUUUUUCGUUUGCACACAAAGUUUUACUUGUACAAAUAAUUCUCACUAACUUUAAAUAAAUGCAUAUUAUUUUAUUUUCCGUUGCAACGCACGGGCAUAUGUGCUAGUAAUAAUAAAACACGGAUUGACUCCGUGGGUUCACCGUCACAAUACGCUUCUUCUCGUGAAUUUACGUUUUUAGUUUUUUUUCACCUAUAUUAUUUUCUACAUCUGAGAUGAUACUAUUCAUGUGAUCAUCACGUGGCCCACCACGCCGACUAUUCCGUCCGACUCCGUCGGCUUCACCGUCGCGUCACUUUUUCGAGAAAGUCUAUGAUUUUGUGUAUUCAACCCGCGAUCCAAAAUAAUCUGCAAAAGGAAAAAACUGUUCGCUGGAAAAAUAUACAUGUACGCAUCUGCCUCCCUCCAGUCCUCCACGCCUGGCCGACCAAAUCCCCCGCCGCCGCCGAUGCACCACUCGCCGCCGUGGCCGGCCUCAACCUGCCCACCGCCGCGGCCGCACCUCUGUCCGCUCGCCGCACCCGCCGCGGCGCUCGAGCGCAGCUUCUGGAUCAGGUCAACGCGACGGCUCGAGCGGCUGGGGACGACGCGCCUGCUUGUUGCAGAACAGCGGCGGCGGGAUCCGGCUGGCUCGGGAGAAGGAGGGAUCCGGCACGGCCGUGCGAAGUCCUUCCAGGUGGAGGCAGGCCUCCAUGGCUGGCAGGGCGAGCUCCAAGGUCAUGGCGGGGCUUCGAUUUUUCUGAUAGAAAAGAGAGACGGAGGAGGAUCCAGGGAGGAGGAGAGGUAGCAGAAGAAGGACGGGGAACAAGGAAGGGUGCGGCAGGGGUGCAGCUGUGUGAGGGCACUGGUCUCGCGCGUGAGGAGCGCCUCUCCUCGGGAGGAUCGGAAGGGAGCGAGUCAAACUCAUAUCCACUUCAGAGCAAGGUGGGUCUACAACUGCUAAUUUAAAGGGAUUCGAUUGUCCCUCGUCUGAGCAUAAGCAUGAUAAAGUGCAGCAACUGACUUGGCUUAUUGUUUUGGAAAUCGCAACCGGUGCUCUCCUGCUUGUUUUUGUGAUUACUGGUGUCGUUACUGCCUACAGAAGCUGCAAUCUAAAGCCUUCUAUACGAAUAUCAUCAUGGAGCAGAUCAAAAAGUUGGAGCGCCGAGAUAACAGUACUGAUUGGCCAAUAACGUAAGCCCCACCAGUGAUGCGACGGGAGAGCUCUGACCUGUCCGUGGGAGUGGGAACGCAGAUCCGCGUCGCCAGCCUACACAAGGCCAUGGUCAAUGUGCCGACGCAUGGUUCAUCGUCCGUCUUCGCCAGUGUUAAAGAAAAUGGAUUUUUACCUGAAUAAAUUGCGUGUAUAGAUAUGUAGAGGAUGCACUCAACAAGCGGAUCUUUCAAGGUGACUUUUCAUGCGAUUUCUACUUCUAAAAAUUAGAAAAUACCUUCAGAUCAAAGCAGUGGAUUUGUAGAUUUUUGGGAAUUGGUGCUACUCCAUCUCCAUCCGGUCCUAGAUCAGAAGGUAAGGAUGUACUUGAGCAAUAUGAGAAGACCCAGUUCCAUCAUCUCAGAAGCCAGAAGUUAACCAUUUAAUAUCGUUGGUUCUAAAAUUUGUGUAAGAAAAUGUUUAUUCUGCUAUGAGCACCACGAUUACGUGUCAAUUGUAGCUUCUUAAUUGCUUAGAAUUAUUUUAUAUGUUUGAUUCCUUCGGUUCAUAUUUAUUAGACCACAAAAUAUUUUCAAGAUUUGUCCGUUUGAGGAUCAAACUUUGAACAUGUGAAUUGAUGUGGUAUCAAGCUAAGUCUGUUGAUACCUUGCUCCC